rnacentral:lncRNA from 1 species
AACAAAAUAGCCAUUACAGAUCGACAAAUACAGAGUUGAAUGUUCUAAUUGUGUGGAAAUUUAAUCGAGUAUCAAAAUGUACAAUUGACUAGUUUGUGCUUAGUUAUUUUUGACCGAGUUGAUAUACCUUAUUAAAACGAUUCCUUUAUUUUCAGCUCCUCCUAUAUCCUUUAGCGGUACACCACAUGAUAUGCCAUUUAUACCUUCAUUCGAUCCUUUAUCUGAUGAAAGAUCUUUGGCUUUUCGAUGCGAAGCCUCAAUACCAUCAGACUAUCAUAGAUACGUUUUUGACAUAACCUGGUUUAUUAAUCAGAAUAAAAUCGUCGAUAAGUACAAUAUCACAUAUAGUAAGCUAGUGACCGACGGAGUUCUUCACCAAAAAGACUGGGAUUCACAUCCAAACGGAACUAAAGUUCUCGGAUUUUGGUUA